CACGGGUGAGUGACACGUAUCCAACCUGCCGUCUACUCUUGGACAGCCUUCUGAAAGGAAGAUUAAUACAAGAUGGCAUCAUGAGUCCGCAUGUUCACAUGAUUAAAGGUAUUCCGGUAGACGAUGGGGAUGCGUUCCAUUAGAUAGUAGGCGGGGUAACGGCCCACCUAGUCUUCGAUGGAUAGGGGUUCUGAGAGGAAGGUCCCCCACAUUGGAACUGAGACACGGUCCAAACUCCUACGGGAGGCAGCAUG
rnacentral:rRNA from 1 species